rnacentral:rRNA from 1 species
GCGGCGAGUGAGCGGCAAAAGCUCAAAUUUGAAAUCUGGCACUUUCAGUGUCCGAGUUGUAAUUUGAAGAAGGUAUCUUUGGGUCUGGCUCUUGUCUAUGUUUCUUGGAACAGAACGUCACAGAGGGUGAGAAUCCCGUGCGAUGAGAUGUCCCAGACCUAUGUAAAGUUCCUUCGAAGAGUCGAGUUGUUUGGGAAUGCAGCUCUAAGUGGGUGGUAAAUUCCAUCUAAAGCUAAAUAUUGGCGAGAGACCGAUAGCGAACAAGUACAGUGAUGGAAAGAUGAAAAGAACUUUGAAAAGAGAGUGAAAAAGUACGUGAAAUUGUUGAAAGGGAAGGGCUUGAGAUCAGACUUGGUAUUUUGUAUGUUACUCUCUCGGGGGUGGCCUCUACAGUUUACCGGGCCAGCAUCAGUUUGAGCGGUAGGAUAAGUGCAAAGAAAUGUGGCACUGCUUCGGUAGUGUGUUAUAGUCUUUGUCGAUACUGCCAGCUUAGACUGAGGACUGCGGCUUCGGCCUAGGAUGUUGGCAUAAUGAUCUUAAGUCGCCCGUCUU